rfam:Nicotiana sylvestris Nsyl_contig234895, whole genome shotgun sequence.
AGGAGCUGGAUGAGAAGAAACUCUCACGUCCGGUUCUGUAGUAUAGAUGGAAUUCAGAAGUAACCAUCAACUAUAAU